rnacentral:rRNA from 1 species
UUAUAAGAGACAGCAGCCGCCGCGGUAACACGAAGGGUGCAAGCGUUAAUCGGAAUUACUGGGCGUAAAGCGUGCGUAGGCGGUGAGUUAAGUCUGCUGUGAAAUCCCCGGGCUCAACCUGGGAAUGGCAGUGGAUACUGGCUCGCUAGAGUGUGUCAGAGGAUGGUGGAAUUCCCGGUGUAGCGGUGAAAUGCGUAGAGAUCGGGAGGAACAUCAGUGGCGAAGGCGGCCAUCUGGGACAACACUGACGCUGAGGCACGAAAGCGUGGGGAGCAAACAGGAUUAGAUACCCGUGUAGUCCCUGUCUCUUAUAC